CUAACUGUAAGUUGUCUCUGAUGUGCAGGUUAACACAAGUAAUGACAUAACCAAAGGUAUAGGUAGAAGAAUACUGUGUAGAAGGAUUGGAUUCCAUUCUGCCGCUGCAGAACCCAGCGAUCGACGGCGCGCAACGUCUAGGCGAUCGGCGGCAUGCGACGCCCAGACAAAUGCGGCGCACUUACAAGUAAUCCGCAAGCAAAAUCAGCACCACAAUGCACAGGUAGAAGUGGAGCCGAUGGAUCUUGGGGAGGAGGGGGCUUGGAGAACUCGUGAGCGAUGAUCUCUUCAGUUUUCCAUUCACACUGCAUGCAGCCAUUAGUUUACACACGAAAUCUGUAGCCCAUUCACAUGCUUCUGUGUUUGCACAUUGUAACUCACAGGAACACAAUUUUUCUUUUUUGCAAGCUGGACUAUUGAUUUCUUAUAAUGUUUUGCUGAUUUUUCUUCUUCCUUAUUACAGCACACUUAUUUCUGCAAUGACAUGUUACAGUUUGGAUGUGGCACCUGCAAGGUUUCGCUUUUGGGCAAUUUUAUCAAGUAGGGAUUUGCUAGCUGGAAUAUUAUGGCAAUUCAUUCUGCAAUCUUUUUUUUUCAGAACUUUCAGCAGAGUCGAAUAGUUGGAGCAUUUGACAGCAGGUUAAAUAUUUCUGUUGGUAGCAUGAUUACAUUCUACAAACUGUGCCUCAUCUGAAGAGAAACAACGCUUUUGUUGGUAGUUCAUCUAACAAUUCCAAUGUUGCAGCAGUAUCAAGCAGAAAAGGAGGAACAUCUUGAAUGUGUAGGUAAUACACACCACGUGGUGUUUGUUUUUCAUCAAUCCUUCGUUUGUAAUACCAAGUAAAAAAAGGAGGUUCUGUACUACUUGACUUCCAUGGUCCAUUUGCGAUUCAUUUAUGCAUUCAUUGGUUGGAACAAGUAUCCAAACAUGUAUUCUGAAGCUUAAGACAUGGUAUCCUAUUCAGUGUUAAGGACUCGGGGACAAAUGCCGGUGCAUAUCUGUUUUGACAUAUUGGUUACAUGUGCUUCAUGUAACAUGCAUUUCCUGAAGAGUAAAAAGAAAUGGAGGGAGUAUUUUGUAAGUGAAUGAUGUUUACGACCGAGACUUCAUCCUGAAGAUCACUAAUCCCAAUGUUUUUGAAUGAAUAAAAAAGAGAGGAAAGACUUGAUUUUCUUUACUCUUGAACGAAAAAUUUGGUAUCAACUUGUCGCCGAGCAAUCUUGGGACAUACAACUUAGAUGGAGAAACAAUGAUCGAUUCUAUGUGAUCGUGUUGAUGCAAGGAUAGAUGAUGAUGAUGCAGGUGGUGGUACGUGCAGCGCACUAAACUUUGACAAAAGGCUGCACGGAUUUUUUUGGGGCAUGUAACACUAAUUUCAGUUUGUUUCAUAUUAUGUGCUUUGCUAAAGCUUUUGUCAAAAUGAUGAUAUCGUGUGUUGCAAAUAAUUUUCUUCGGAUUUAUUUCACCCCCACCAUCUGAA